rnacentral:tRNA from 1 species
GAACGAGGCGCAAGGGCACGCAUGGAUUGCUAUUCCAUGCACUCUUCGGUUAAAACCCGGAGCUCGCUCG